rnacentral:tRNA from 1 species
GGGGAUUUAGCUCAGUGGUAGAGCGUUUGCCUAGUGCAAGGCCCUGGGUUCGAUUCUCAGCUCCG